rnacentral:rRNA from 1 species
AGCGAACGCUGGCGGCAGGCUUAACACAUGCAAGUCGAGCGGCCGUAGCAAUACGGCAGCGGCAGACGGGAGAGUAACACGUGGGAACGUACCCUUCAGUACGGAACAACCAAGGGAAACUUUGGCUAAUACCGUAUACGUCCGUAAGGAGAAAGAUUUAUCGCUGAAGGAUCGGCCCGCGUCUGAUUAGCUAGUUGGUGAGGUAACGGCUCACCAAGUCGACGAUCCGUAGCUGGUUUGAGAGGAUGAUCAGCCUCACUGGGACUGAGACACGGCCCAGACUCCUACGGGAGGCAGCAGUGGGGAAUAUUGGACAAUGGGCGCAGGCCUGAUCCAGCCAUGCCGCGUGGAUGAUGAAGGCCCUAGGGUUGUAAAGUCCUUUUAACGGGGAAGAUAAUGACGGUACCCGUAGAAUAAGCCCCGGCUAACUUCGUGCCAGCCGCCGCAGUAA